GUCGACGCACUCUCGUUUAGAUUGAAGGAGCUUGCUCCUGAUUGAUAAACACUUUAGUGAGUGGCGGACGGGUGAGUAACACGUGGGUAACCUGCCCUAAAGUGGGGGAUAACAUUUGGAAACAGAUGCUAAUACCGCAUAAAACCUAACACCGCAUGGUGUAGGGUUGAAAGAUGGUUUCGGCUAUCACUUUAGGAUGGACCCGCGGUGCAUUAGUUAGUUGGUGAGGUAAAGGCUCACCAAGACCGUGAUGCAUAGCCGACCUGAGAGGGUAAUCGGCCACACUGGGACUGAGACACGGCCCAGACUCCUACGGGAGGCAGCAGUAGGGAAUCUUCCACAAUGGACGAAAGUCUGAUGGAGCAACGCCGCGUGAGUGAAGAAGGUUUUCGGAUCGUAAAACUCUGUUGUUGGAGAAGAAUGUAUCUGAUAGUAACUGAUCAGGUAGUGACGGUAUCCAACCAGAAAGCCACGGCUAACUACGUGCCAGCAGCCGCGGUAAUACGUAGGUGGCAAGCGUUGUCCGGAUUUAUUGGGCGUAAAGCGAGCGCAGGCGGUUUCUUAAGUCUGAUGUGAAAGCCUUCGGCUCAACCGAAGAAGUGCAUCGGAAACUGGGAAACUUGAGUGCAGAAGAGGACAGUGGAACUCCAUGUGUAGCGGUGAAAUGCGUAGAUAUAUGGAAGAACACCAGUGGCGAAGGCGGCUGUCUGGUCUGUAACUGACGCUGAGGCUCGAAAGCAUGGGUAGCAAACAGGAUUAGAUACCCUGGUAGUCCAUGCCGUAAACGAUGAGUGCUAGGUGUUGGAGGGUUUCCGCCCUUCAGUGCCGCAGCUAACGCAUUAAGCACUCCGCCUGGGGAGUACGACCGCAAGGUUGAAACUCAAAGGAAUUGACGGGGGCCCGCACAAGCGGUGGAGCAUGUGGUUUAAUUCGAAGCAACGCGAAGAACCUUACCAGGUCUUGACAUCCUUUGACCACUCUAGAGAUAGAGCUUUCCCUUCGGGGACAAAGUGACAGGUGGUGCAUGGUUGUCGUCAGCUCGUGUCGUGAGAUGUUGGGUUAAGUCCCGCAACGAGCGCAACCCUUAUUACUAGUUGCCAGCAUUUAGUUGGGCACUCUAGUGAGACUGCCGGUGACAAACCGGAGGAAGGUGGGGACGACGUCAAAUCAUCAUGCCCCUUAUGACCUGGGCUACACACGUGCUACAAUGGAUGGUACAACGAGUUGCGAGACCGCGAGGUUUAGCUAAUCUCUUAAAACCAUUCUCAGUUCGGAUUGUAGGCUGCAACUCGCCUACAUGAAGCCGGAAUCGCUAGUAAUCGCGGAUCAGCAUGCCGCGGUGAAUACGUUCC
rnacentral:rRNA from 2 species